AAGAAAUAAAAAGAAAGAAAGAAACAAACAGUGGUAUCCUUAGGAGAUGACACACAUCAUGAGAUCACCCAGUGAGUUUGUUUUUCCUAAGUGACUAACAAAAGUGAAGGGAUGGAAGGGUGUGGCUGGCCAUGUUAAGGGUGCAAUUAGUGGCCCCAGAGCAUGAGCCAGGGAACACUGGCCCUACAUGGGCUUGCAACAGAUUGUACUUAACUGGAAAAGUCAACCAUCUCUAAAUACUUUUCCCUGAUUUCCUCUUUUCCUAACUCUCUGAGAAGCUUAGCAAGAAAUUGACUCUAUGACCUGAGAUCUAUAAUCUUUAUUUAUUUAUUUAUUUUUGUUUUCGGCGGACACAACAUCUUUGUUUGUAUGUGGUGCUGAGGAUCGAACCUGGGCCGCACACAUGCCAGGUGAGCACGCUACCGCUUGAGCCACAUCCCCAGCCCCUGUCCUGUGCUCUAAAGAGAAGGAUAAGGAAGGGAACUGGGGACCUCAGACCCCUUACCCCAAGACCAAGCAAUGAUGGUCCCCACUCAUCAUGACCACUACCAUCAUUAAACACCUUCCUGCACAUGGCUGUCCCUUCUAUCAUUUCUUCCUAGUACAAGCAUCCAUUAAACACUUGACACCUACCUGCCAGAUGCUGGUUUACAGAUAUCAACUCCAUACUCUUUGCCCACCACAUACUUAUAGACCACUGGGGAGACAAACUGAAAAAAAAACAACACAGAGAUACACCCCAAACAGCAAAAGACCCAGAUAAAGGCUGCUAAGUUUCCAGGGUUUCCAGCCUAACAAGCAGAUACACAACACCACCCCACCUCCAAACACACAGUCACUGUGACUGGGAGCAAACAUGCAGACCAUAAGGCAAUACACAUAGGGCGAAUAAAAGAAACAGAUUGUUUGGAUGUCAAGGGUAAGUCUUCUUUUUAUGGAUAUUGUGGGAGAAUAUGUCAUGGGCACUCUUGCCCAGAACUGGGUGUGGUAAGAAAGAACUUUGGAAAAGGGCAGGGACAGCAGGAGUGAGAGACCCAUGUGUCUGGCAGAACAACUGGGGAAAGUGGGCAUUAGGCUGA
rnacentral:lncRNA from 1 species